GCCGGCAGCUAGCUCUCUGCAACCUCACAUUUUCGCCCACUGCAGCAAAGCAGUGCUGCGCCCAGUCAGUACCUAGAUGGGAGACAACAAGUGAAAGCUAGGUGGCUGCCGGAA
rnacentral:rRNA from 1 species